rnacentral:rRNA from 1 species
AACGAACGCAGGCGGCGUGUUUAAGACAUGCAAGUCGCACGGGAUAAGGCAUGUAGUAAUACUUGUUUUAUUUAGUGGCGCACGGGUGAGUAACACGUGAAUUACAUGCCCUAUAGUGGGGAAUAGCCCAGGGAAACUUGGAUUAAUACCCCAUGGUCUCGAAAGAUUAAAGGUGGCCGCAAGGCUGUCGCUAUAGGAUUGGUUCGCGCCCUAUCAGCUUGUUGGUGAGGUAACGGCUCACCAAGGCAAUGACGGGUACCUGGUCUGAGAGGACGAUCAGGCACACUGGAACUGAGACACGGUCCAGACACCUACGGGUGGCAGCAGUCGAGAAUAAUUCACAAUGGGGGCAACCCUGAUGGUGCAACGCCGCGUGGAGGAUGACGGUCUUCGGAUUGUAAACUCCUGUCAUCUGGGAGAAAGACCUGACGGUAAAUAGCCGGCAGGGUUGAUAGUACCAGAAGAGGAAGGGACGGCUAACUUCGUGCCAGCCGCCGCGGUAA